ACGACACGAUGGGAAUGCCGUAGAGGAUCACCUGGCCCACCUGGUUGGGUUUGAGGUUGGCGUGGCCUGACCGAGGCUGGCUCAGCGCGUCGGGCUGGAAGGCGCUCGACGGCGAAGCCAGCAAGAUGUCGUUGGGCCCUGGCAACGGGCUGGAAGCCAUGUCCUCCGCCAACGAACUCCGGGAGAGGUUCUGGUUCCAGACAGCCAACUUAAAGAGAUGAAGUUGAAGACCUGUAACCAUUUAAAAACUGUUUUCCUGUCUUCUCCAUUUCAAGGAGCAUGACAUCUAUACCACCACCUUUGACCUGCAGGCCCGGGGAUCCUCAACUCUCAUUACAUUCAGUGGCCUCCUGGAAGGCCAAAUAAACCUUGUCACGCGAGCGAGCGAGCGAGCUAGCGAGGGAGCGGAGAGCCUGGCUUGUCACUUUGGAUGGAUCAGCGACAGUAUUUCUGGGGAGCGGGACCGUUAAAUGACAGUUCAAGGCAUAGCGAUAUCUAAGCCUGACACAACCAGCCCAAGCUUCGCGAAAUGGCCCUUCAAUGUUUCUUGCCCUCCCAAAUAAGACUCAUUAUUUCAGUAAAACCCUGGGAUAACUGGAAUUCUCGCGCCCCAGAAAUCUGAGCAGUGGGCUGGUGCAGGCGAGGAGCUGGCUCCGUGGUAGGAACCAGCAGCCUUAGCCACUGCCCGUGGACCCGGCAGCAGUGUCUCCUCCAGGUGUCCUCCACCUUCACCCCAAGCCCUCCCAGAAACUCCCAUCAGAGCGAGACGCGAAUAGGAACGUUCAAAUUGGGGGAAUCUUUCAAGGGAUAAAAGGGUAAAGAGACAAGUAAAAGUUAGUUGAACUGA